CUAGCCCCUAUACCUACCACUUAGUCACUUAUGGGCAUUUGAAACGAUCAGAUAGGUUAAAGAAAUAUAGUAAUUGCUUCACCUUGCCUUCUGAUAGUCUGGAUGCAAUUGUGGCCAUAUUGCUUAUACCUAUUCAAUCAUUACUGAUUCACAGAAGUGUUUAGGCCAGGGUGUAGGAUUUAGGGGUCAAUUUGGAUUUAGGAAUCAAAUGUAGUUCAGGGGCUUACAGCUGUCCUUAAUUAGCCAAUGACGUUAGAAGGGUCUGGGAUUUGUUUAAAAGGAGCAACCAAAAAGCCUGCCAGAUACAGCAAAAGAGAUAUCAUACUAGGGCUUAUACCGGCCAUUAGUACUGAUUACUGGGGAGGUUUUGAGGUGCAAAAUGGCCGUGAUGAUUGGAAUCGCUUUCAGAGUUUCUUGGCUUUGUUGCCUGCUAAUUGGAGGGAUAACCUGUUCUACAUCAAGUGAUGGGUAUCCUGCACUAGGUUCUGAUGCAGCAUGGCUCUAUGCCGGCUCACUUAGGUCUAAAGGAUAUGGUAAUUACAACUCUCCAACAGCUCAAAUGCAAGCGCAGCUGACCGAAGAGCAACAGAAGCAUCCGGCCGUCAUCCUGCAAAAGCAACUGGUCCACAUGCCCCAGGCACCUCAGAAAAUGUGGUAUCCAGCUCAAAUGCCCCAGCAGGAAAAGCAACCGGCCGCCAUGACCCAACAGCAGACUCUACCGGACAGUUAUCCUAAGCAGCCUCAAGCAGUGUUGUAUCCAGCUCAAAUGCCCCAGAAGCAACCAGCUACUGAACUUCAGCAUCAGAAGGAACAGGCCUCCAUACCCCAGCUACCUCAGCAAGUGUGGUAUCCAGUACAAAUUCCCCAGCAGCAGAAGGAACUGACCACCAUGCCCCAGAAGCAACUGGCUCCAAUUCCUAUACUGCAGAAACAACCAACCGCUAUGCCCCAGCAAGCAUGGUAUCCAGCUCAAAUGCAGCAGAAGCAACCAGCCCCAAUGCCUCCACUGCAGAAGCAACCGGCCACCAUGCCCCAGCAAGUGUGGCAUCCAGCUCAAAUGCCCAAGCAACAAAAGCAACCAGCCACUGAACCUCAGCAGCAGAAGGAACUGUCCGCCAUGCCCCAGCUUCUUCAGCAAGUGUGGCAUCCAGCUCAAUUUCCCCAGAAGCAACAUGUCCCUAUGCAUCAACCGCAGAAGGAACUGACUGCCAUUCCACCACAACUGUGGCAGUAUGCUCAAAUGCCCCAGCAGCAUAAGCAACUGGCUGCCAUGCUUCAGCAAGUGCGGCAACAGGCCACCAUGCCCCAGAUGCCUCACGAUGUGUGGUAUCCAGCUAAAAUGGUCCAGAAGCAACAAGCCGCUGCAACUCGGCGGCAUAAGGAACUUAACGCCAUAACUACGCAAGAGUGGCAUCCAGCUCAAUUUCCCCAGCAGCAGAAGCAACCAGCCCUAAUGCCUUUACCGCGGAAGGAACUUACCGCCAUACCUCAACAAGUGUGGUAUCCAGCUCAAAAGCCCCAGAUGCAGAAGCAACCGGCCGCAGAACUUCAGCAGCAAAUUGAACCGACCUCCAUUCCUCAGCCACCUCAGCAAGUGUGGCAACCAGAUCAAUUUCCCCAGGAGCAGAAGCAACCAGCCCCUAUGCGUGUAGCACAGAAGGAACUGACUGCCAUACCCCAACUGUGGCAAACGGCUCAAAUACCGCAGAAGCAACCGGCUGCUGAACCACAGCACAAUGAACCGGCCACCAUGCCCCAGCAAGAGUGGCAUCCACCUCAAAUGCUGCAGACGCAACCAAGCUCCAUGCCCCAGCAAGUGUGGUGUCCAGCUCACAUUCCCCAGCAGCAGAAACAACUGGCCACCAUGCUGCAGAAGCAACCAGCCCCAAUGCCUCAACCGCAGAAGCAACUGGCCACCAUGCCCCCGCAAGUGUGGCAUCCAGCUCAAAUGCCUCAGCAGCAAAAGCAACCAGCUACUGAACCUCAGCAGCAAAUUGAACCGACCGCCAUGCCCCAGCCACCUCAGCAAGUGUGGCAUUCAGAUCAAUUUCCCCAGGAGCAGAAGCAACCAGCCCCUAUGCAUCUAGCGCAGAAGGAACUGACUGCCAUACCCCAACAACUGUGGCAAAUGGCUCAAAUGCCCCAGCAGCAUAAGCAACCGUCUACCAUGCUUCAGCAAGUGUGGCAUCUGGCGCAGAAGCAACAGGCCCCUAUGCCCCAGCAGACUCACGAUGUGUGGUAUCCAGCUAAAAUGGUCCAGAAGAUACAAGCCGCUGCAACUCGGAGGCAGAAGGAACUGACCGCCAUAACUAAGCAAGAGUGGCAUCCAGCUCAAUUUCCCCAGCAGCAGAAGCAACCGGCCUCCACGCCUCUACCGCAGGAGCAACUGACUGCCGUAUCCCAGCAAGUGUGGUAUCCAGCUCAAAUGCCUCAGAAGCAUCUGGCCUCCAUGCCGCAGAAGCAACCGACCACCAUUCCACAGCAACCAGUGUAUCCAGCUCAAAAGCCCCAGCUGCAGAAGCAACCGGCCGCUGAACCUCAGCAGCAAAUUGAACCGACCUCCAUUCCCGAGCAAGUGUGGCAUCCAGCUCAAUUUCCCCAGCAGCAGAAGCAACCGGCCUCCAUGCCUCUACCGCAGGAGCAACCGACUGCCGUAUCCCAGCAAGUGUGGUAUCCAGCUCAAAUGUCCCAGCAGCAACUGGCCUCCAUGCCGCUACCGCAGAAGCAACUGACCAACAUGCCUCAGCAAGAGUGGCAACCAGCUCAAAUACCGCAGAAGCAAUCGGCUGCUGAACCACAGCAGAACGAACCGACCACCAUUCCCCAGCAACCAGUGUAUCCAGCUCAAAAGCCCCAGCUGCAGAAGCAACCGGCCACCAUACCCCAGCAAGUGAGGUAUCCAGCGCAAAUGUCCCAGCAGCGGAAGCAACACACUGCCAUGCCACAGCAGCAACUGACCCCCAUGCCUCAGCUAUUAUGGCAUGUAGCUCAAAUGCCCCAGAAGCAACUGGCCCCAAUGUCUCAGCAGAAGCACUACGAAAGCACUGAAGAUUGUGCCUGUGGUAGCUCUCAGGCCAGCAUCGUUGAACAGUUGGGUGUCAUCCCAAUCUAUUCCUACAGUUCCAAAUCGCACUACGAGAGUGGCAGAACUGUCUUCUCCCAAACCCGCUACACUCCUAGGGAGGCAAUGCCUGUUGACAGUGGAAAUUCUCCCAAGGACAGUUAUGUUGUCAUUGGUGCACCAAGCAUAUAUCCACCAGUAGUGAAGGAUUCUGCAAGGAAAAUGUAAUGGAUUCAUCCUCUAGAAGCUCUAAUGGAAGUUGCUGGUGCUCUUGCUACUCUAGCGUGAUGGAAUCAAUAAACAAUUUUACUUGUCUCUUUGAAAUAAUGGUUCUCGUGUCCAUUGCUUGCUAAUUGAGAACAGGUGGUGUGCAUUCUGUAGUAAAAAUGACUGCUGUUAAGUUAAUUCUUUGGCCUUCUAAUCUUGAACUUAUAUGGUGAUUGCAUCAACUUUCAUAGUAUUACCACGACGACUGCAAAACAGUUUCUUUCAAUCACCCAUGUGGGUAUAACCAAUGAGAUGGGAGAGGGAAGACUUUCAGUGAGAUCUGUGUCAGAAAUGGAAAGGAGUUCUAUUUUAGCCUAUCGCAGACAUUCGUUGGCACGCGCGAGCAGUGUGGGUGC
rnacentral:lncRNA from 1 species